rnacentral:lncRNA from 1 species
CACUUAAAAGUGGCAGGCUUUAAGGCUUUCAACUGUGCAUGUUUAUUACGUAGCUUAGAAAGGUUUGGCCACCAACAUAAGCUGUCACAAUAUGUGUAUGCAAUAGAUUUUGUUAGAACAUGACCUAUAUUUGCAAAUAGUCUUAAUCUUAAAAAAGAGAUGUUUUUUCAAAAUGUUUGGUGGACAUAUAAAGCAAUAGAGUGAGAAUAUCUUGUUUCUUGCAGCUCACCCAUCAUCUUCCCAGAAAAACAUCUGCAACCUGCUGAGCCCAAGGCUGUAGGAUCUGAAACCCUUUUCACAGUGUCUGAUUGGUUGAGGGGCUGGAGAGGACGCCUGUGCAGCUCAGAGUUUCUCUGCCUUGUUGAGCAGAGAGUGUUCAGUCAAUGCGUUCAAUGUACUGAGAACAUGGUGCAGCGGAAAUGCAGCGAGUGACCCCAUUCCAGUGUUGAUGAAAGCUUAGUCGUCAUCUCCACGGUGAAGGAAGGAUCCAGCUGAACUCCAGCUUUAGCAGCAGUGAAAGCAAGAUGUCUCUUUUUCUAACAACUGCCAGCCUUCAGCAGUCAUCUCUUCCUCGACCUGGUAUUUUGAACACACCAGGAUUAAUUAGCAGAACUGUUGAAAGCAGACACUGCAGGCACCGCAGUAUUGCAAACAAGCCUACAACAGCAAGACUUCAAGAGCAACUCCGAGGCAUGUUCAGUUAGCACAGCAAUAUUGUUAUUUAGCGCCAGCAUCACAACGCCCAAUAUCAACGGAUCCCAGAGCUGGAACACAGAGCAGCGCUACAAGGUAAAUAUAUCUACAUGAGCUUUUCCUUGGUUUUUCCUCCCUGUUGUCAGUAUUAAUUUUACCAGGUGCUGCUCCACUGUUACAUUGCUGGUGAUGGCUCAGGAGUCAGGUACAAAUUGUGCAUAUGGAUAAAAUCUGUAAUAAAGCGAUAUAUUUCCAGCCCUUGUAGCA